rnacentral:rRNA from 1 species
AAAUUGAAGAGUUUGAUCAUGGCUCAGAUUGAACGCUGGCGGCAGGCCUAACACAUGCAAGUCGAACGGUAACAGGAAGCAGCUUGCUGCUUCGCUGACGAGUGGCGGACGGGUGAGUAAUGUCUGGGAAACUGCCUGAUGGAGGGGGAUAACUACUGGAAACGGUGGCUAAUACCGCAUAACGUCGCAAGACCAAAGAGGGGGACCUUCGGGCCUCUUGCCAUCAGAUGUGCCCAGAUGGGAUUAGCUGGUUGGUGAGGUAACGGCUCACCAAGGCGACGAUCCCUAGCUGGUCUGAGAGGAUGACCAGCCACACUGGAACUGAGACACGGUCCAGACUCCUACGGGAGGCAGCAGUGGGGAAUAUUGCACAAUGGGCGCAAGCCUGAUGCAGCCAUGCCGCGUGUAUGAAGAAGGCCUUCGGGUUGUAAAGUACUUUCAGCGGGGAGGAAGGUGUUGUGGUUAAUAACUGCAGCAAUUGACGUUACCCGCAGAAGAAGCACCGGCUAACUCCGUGCCAGCAGCCGCGGUAAUACGGAGGGUGCAAG